CUUGGUUGAAACGCAGGCUGGUCACCCCUCGAAGUGGUUGCUGAGUCAUGAUUCAGGAUUGCUUCCCUGGAUACAAAUGGGGAUAGGCUGGGCCUACUUGAUUU